CAGGAAGGGCGCAUGGAGGAUGCCUUGGCUCUCGGAGGCGACGAAGGACGCGACAAGCUGCGAAAAGCCGCGGCGAGGGGCAAAUACCCAUUGACCCGCGGAUGUCCGAAUGGGGCAACCCACCGGAAGCGAUUCCGGUAUCCGUUGAUUGACGGAGGCGAACGCAGGGAACUGAAACAUCUUAGUACCUGCAGGAAGAGAAAGUAAACACGAUUCCCCCAGUAGAGGCGAUCGAACGGGGAAUAGCCCAAACCGCCGGCGUUGCAAAGCGCCGACGGGGUUGUAGGACCGCUCAAAGGCUGUUGGAAGGCGAGCGGAAGCGCAUGGAACGGCGCGCCGCAGCGGGUGAGAGCCCCGUACGCGAAGCCCGAAGACACAGGAGCGGCACCUGAGUAAGCCGGGACACGAGGAAUCCCGGUCGAAUCCACGGGGACCAUCCCGUAAGGCUAAAUACUACCGAGAGACCGAUAGCGAACCAGUACCGUGAGGGAAAGGUGAAAAGGACCCCGGAAGGGGAGUGAAAGAGACCCUGAAACCAUGCGCCUACAAGCGGUCGGAGCCGCGUAAUGCGGUGACGGCGUGCCUUUUGCAUAAUGAGCCUGCGAGUUGUGGUCAUUGGCGAGGCUAAGAGCCGAAGGUUCGGAGCCGGAGCGAAAGCGAGUCCGAAGAGGGCGUAUAGUCGAUGGCUGCAGACGCGAAACCGGGUGAUCUACGCAUGGGCAGGCUGAAGGCUGGGUAACACCAGCUGGAGGGCCGAACCGGUAAGCGUUGAAAAGCUUUCGGAUGACCUGUGCGUAGGAGUGAAAGGCCAAUCAAACCCGGAGAUAGCUCGUACUCCCCGAAAUGCAUUUAGGUGCAGCCUCGGUAAAGACCGACGGAGGUAGAGCGACCGAUAGGGUGCGAGGGCUUCGCCGCCUAUCAAGCCCUGACGAACUCCGAAUGCCGUCGGUUGCUUACCGGGAGUGAGGGCGCGGGUGCUAAGGUCCGCGUCCGAAAGAGGAACAACUCAGACCACCGUCUAAGGCCCCGAAAUCCGGGCCGAGUUGAAGCCAAUAACGAGGUGGGACCGCAUAGACAGUUAGGAUGUUGGCUUGGAAGCAGCCAUUCAUUCAAAGAGUGCGUAACAGCUCACUAAUCGAGCGGUCCCGCGUGGAUAAUAAUCGGGCAUAAGUCCGGUGCCGAAGACGUGGAAUCAACCAUGAAGGUUGAUUGGUAGGGGAGCAUUCUGCCGCCGGUGAAGGAGGGCCGCGAGACCCUCUGGAGGUUGCAGAAAAGCAAAUGCAGGCAUAAGUAACGACAAAGGGGGCGGGAAACCCCCUCGCCGGAAGGCCAAGGGUUCCUGAUCAACGCUAAUCGGAUCAGGGUAAGCCGGGACCUAAGCAAAAGCCGCGAGGCGUAUGCGAUGGACAAACGGUAAAAAUUCCGUUGCCUCCGGUUUGAGAGCCCCGUUGAUGACGGAGGAGCGAAAGACGCGCGUGCUGACGGAACAGCACGUUAAAGGGAAGUAGCCUUAUGGUGAAGCCCGACAGUACACAGAGGCUUCGGCCGAAGUGAUAGCCGUACCGUAGCAGACUCCCGAGAAAAGUCAACGAGAGGCGCUUGAUCAAACCGGGGCCCGUACCGAAAACCGACACAGGUGGCCGGGUAGAAAAUACUGAGGCGCUCGAGAGAUUCACGGUCAAGGAACUAGGCAAAUUGGCCCCGUAACUUCGGGAGAAGGGGUCCCUCGUUUAAAAAGCGAGGCGCAGAGAAUAAGUCCAGGCAACUGUUUAGCAAAAACACAGGGCUGUGCCAAGCCGCAAGGCGCUGCAUACAGCCUGACACCUGCCCGGUGCCGGAAGGUUAAGCGGAGCUGUCAUCGCAAGAGAAGCAGUGAAGUGAAGCCCCGGUAAACGGCGGCCGUAACUAUAACGGUCCUAAGGUAGCGAAAUUCCUUGUCGGGGAAGUUCCGACCUGCACGAAUGGUGUAAUGAUCCGGACACUGUCUCGACCGUGAGCUCGGUGAAAUUGUAGUAUCGGUGAAGAUGCCGAUUACCCGCAACGGGACGAAAAGACCCCGUGAACCUUUACUGCAGCUUAGCAUUGGGGCCGGGUGUGCGAUGUGUAGGAUAGUCCGGAGACAGCGAAGCCGGGACGCCAGUCUCGGUGGAGUCGACGUUGAAAUACGGGCCUUCGCACAUUUGGCUUCUAACUUGCGAUGCAAGGACAUUGCUUGGCGGGUAGUUUGACUGGGGUGGUCGCCUCCAAAAGCGUAACGGAGGCUCCUAAAGGUUCCCUCAGGCCGAUUGGCAACCGGCCGCAGAGCGCAAUGGCAUAAGGGAGCUUGACUGUGAGACCAACAAGUCGGACAGGAAGGAAACUUGAGCAUAGUGAUCCGGCGGUUCCGUAUGGAAGGGCCGUCGCUCAAAGGAUAAAAGGUACUCCGGGGAUAACAGGC
rnacentral:rRNA from 1 species